rnacentral:rRNA from 1 species
CUUACUGCUAUCGGGAUGAGACUAAGCCAUGCGAGUUAUGCGCUCUCUAGCCAUGAUGGGAGUGCGGCAGACGGCUCACUAACACGUAGCUAACCCGCCCUUAGGAUGGGGAUAACCCCGGGAAACUGGGGCUAAUACCCAAUAGGUGGUAGUGCCUGGAAUGGCUAUCCACUGAAAAGAUGUUAGUAACAUGCUUCUAACCUUGCCUAAGGAUGGAGCUGCGGCCGAUCAGGUUGUUGGUAGGGUAACGGCCUACCAAGCCUACAACCGGUACGGGCCCUGAGAGGGGGAGCCCGGAGAUGGGAACUGAGACAAGGUCCCAGGUCCUACGGGGCGCAGCAGGCGCGAAAACUCCACAAUGCACAAAAGUGUGAUGGGGUCAUCCCGAGUGCCGUCCGAUGAGGAUGGCUUUUUCUCAGUGUAAGGAACUGGGAGAAUAAAGGGGGGGCAAGUCUGGUGUCAGCCGCCGCGGUAAUACCAGCCCCCUGAGUGGUAAGGACGAUUAUUUGGCCUAAAGCGUCCGUAGCCGGCUCUUAAAGUCCUUCGUUAAAUCUAACGAUUCAAUCGUUAGACCGCGAAAGAUACUGUUGGGCUCGAGGACGGGAGAGGUUGACGGUAGUCCUGGGGUAGGGGUGAAAUCCUAUAAUCCCAGGAGGACCACCAGUGGCGAAGGCGGUCGACUAGAACGUGCCUGACGGUGAUGGACGAAAGCUGGGGGAGCGAACCGGAUUAGACACCCGGGUAGUCCCAGCUGUAAACGAUGCGGGCUAGGUGUUGGGACAGCCAUGAGCUGUUCCAGUGCCGCAGAGAAGUUGUUAAGCCCGCCGCCUGGGAAGUACGGCCGCAAGGCUGAAACUUAAAGGAAUUGGCGGGGGAGCACCACAAGGGGUG